CCCUCGACUAGCCCCAAUGAGUUGAGGGUGAGUGUGUAUGAGCCCUCAAGAGGGGUGCCC
rnacentral:scRNA from 1 species